rnacentral:rRNA from 1 species
GCCAGCCCGCUCAGAAACUACAAAGGAAUUGACGGGGCCCGCACAAGCGGUGGAGUAUGUGGUUUAAUUCGAUGCAACGCGAAGAACCUUACCUGGUCUUGACAUCCCGGAGACCCUUAGGAAACUAGGGGGUGCUUCCAUCUGGAAGAAUCUGGAGACAGGUGCUGCAUGGCUGUCGUCAGCUCGUGUCGUGAGAUGUUGGGUUAAGUCCCGCAACGAGCGCAACCCUUGCCUUUAGUUGCCAGCAGUUCGGCUGGGCACUCUAAAGGGACUGCCGGUGUUAAACCGGAGGAAGGUGGGGAUGACGUCAAGUCCUCAUGGCCUUUAUGACCAGGGCUACACACGUACUACAAUGGCCGAUACAAAGGGCAGCGACACUGCGAGGUGAAGCCAAUCCCGUAAAAUCGGUCUCAGUCCGGAUUGGAGUCUGCAACUCGACUCCAUGAAGUUGGAAUCGCUAGUAAUCGUGGAUCAGCAUGCCACGGUGAAUACGUUCCCGGGCCUU